UAGAUACUCCCUCCGUCCGAAAAUACUUGUCAUCAAAAUGGAUAAAAGGGGAUGUAUCUAGAUACAUCCCCUUUUAUCCAUUUUGAUGACAAGUAUUUUCGGACGGAGGGAGUACAUU
rnacentral:pre_miRNA from 1 species